rnacentral:misc_RNA from 1 species
GAUGAAGAACGUAGCGAAAUGCGAUAAGUAAUGUGAAUUGCAGAAUUCAGUGAAUCAUCGAAUCUUUGAACGCACAUUGCGCCCGCUAGUAUUCUGGCGGGCAUGCCUGUUCGAGCGUCAUUUCAACCAUCAAGCUCCUUAGCUUGUGUUGGGGACCUGCGGCUGCCGCAGCCCCCGAAAUGCAGUGGCGGGCUCGUUGUCACACCGAGUGCAGUAAUCAUUCUUCUCUCCGGGCGUGGCGGCGGGUUCCGGCCGUAAAAUCACCAAUUUAUCAAGGUUGACCUCGGAUCAGGUAGGAAUACCCGCUGAACUUAAGCAUAUCAUAAGCGGAGGA